rnacentral:rRNA from 1 species
AAUGAACGCUGGCGGCAUGCCUAACACAUGCAAGUCGAACGAAGCCUUCGGGCUUAGUGGCGCACGGGUGCGUAACGCGUGGGAAUGUGCCCUUGGGUUCGGAAUAACUCUCCGAAAGGAGUGCUAAUACCGGAUGAUGUCGAAAGACCAAAGAUUUAUCGCCCAGGGAUGAGCCCGCGUAGGAUUAGCUAGUUGGUGAGGUAAAAGCUCACCAAGGCGACGAUCCUUAGCUGGUCUGAGAGGAUGAUCAGCCGCACUGGGACUGAGACACGGCCCAGACUCCUACGGGAGGCAGCAGUGGGGAAUAUUGGACAAUGGGCGAAAGCCUGAUCCAGCAAUGCCGCGUGAGUGAUGAAGGCCUUAGGGUUGUAAAGCUCUUUUACCCGGGAUGAUAAUGACAGUACCGGGAGAAUAAGCCCCGGCUAACUCCGUGCCAGCAGCCGCCGCAG